GCGGCGCUUCCCCCACCCGCUAAUGUUUUGGCCGAUUCAAGAUGGCGGUGCAGGAGUCAGCUGCUCAGCUCUCCAUGACCCUGAAGGUGCAGGAGUACCCGACCCUCAAGGUACCCUACGAGACGCUGAAUAAGCGCUUUCGGGCUGCUCAGAAAAACAUCGACCGAGAGACGAGCCACGUCACCAUGGUGGUGGCCGAGCUGGAGAAGACCUUGAGCAGCUGCCCCGCCGUGGACUCCGUGGUCAGCCUUCUGGACGGCGUGGUGGAGAAGCUUAGCGUCCUCAAGAGGAAGGCGGUGGAGUCCAUCCAGGCGGAGGACGAGAGCGCCAAGCUGUGCAAGCGCAGGAUCGAGCACCUCAAGGAGCACAGCAGCGACCAGCCCGCGGCAGCCAGCAUGUGGAAGCGGAAGCGCAUGGACCGCAUGAUGGUGGAGCACCUGCUGCGCUGCGGCUACUACAACACGGCCGUGAAGCUGGCCCGCCAGAGCGGCAUCGAGGACUUAGUGAACAUCGAGAUGUUCCUGACAGCCAAAGAAGUGGAGGAGUCCCUGGAGAGGCGCGAGACCGCCACCUGCCUGGCCUGGUGUCACGACAACAAGUCCCGGCUACGCAAGAUGAAGGGCCGCCAAAGCGAGCACGACGCGAAGACGGGACGGAAAAGUAGAGUGGCCAGUGGCUCCCCUAAAGAGAGUGAGGAUCUUGGUAUGGAAACCAUAAAAGGAAAGCCAGAAUUGGUAUGUAACACUCACCCUGCUGUCCCGCUCCAGCCCCCACAGCUGUGCCGCACGGCGGGGACCGGGCCAGGAGGGACGGAGGCCUCCCACCCGGACAGCCGCUUUCUGCGAUGCCCCCAGACCUCGCAGCCGCUGUGGGGGCAGGCGGGCGGGCGGGCGGCCCAGGCCACGAUGGCAGGUCCCUGUCACCAGCCCGUGCGCUGUGAAGCACGCAGCCAGCCACCCCGACGUGCGUCGGGCGUGAAGACUCGCCUGCUGUGAAGCGUCGUCUGAACGGGGCAGGGCAGUGGAGUGCCCACACACUCUUGCGCUCGCACACACAGGCUGGGGAGGGGCCGUGCGGGACCUCCGCAGACCCUCAGAGCAGUCAGGAGCCCUAGGCAGGACAACAGACUUUGGGGCCCAAGUUUCCCGUGGCUGGAAACACCCCUGGGAUAGUGGGCGUGCCGAGCGAGCGUCGGUGACCCUGGUGUCCAGACGCUUCAGGGCGGUCAGAGCAGCAGCCUGCGCGCGGCGGGUCCAGAAAGCUGGCGGAGGCGUAGCCGUGGAGGCGCCGGCCUCCCCCAGGUGGCACCCGAGGGUCGCUCUUCAGCCCUCGGUGCUUGGCGCGCUCACCUGGCGCCGCGCUGGCUUCCGCGGGAGUCCGGGCCCCUAACUGUCAGCGGUCUGUGUGCGCCUGUCGGGCGGUCGGGAAGGUCAGCUGCGAGCGCAGAGCCCUAGGAGGCAGUGAACACGUCUGCAUGGCAGUUGUGUGACGCUGUGGUGGGGUUGGCCGUGACGUUGCUCACUGAGACGUGCCCCUGCGGGCCCCCCCUGUUGUUAGAGCUCCGGGCCACCCCUGAGCGCAGAGGCGGUCGUCAGCUGCCCCGGGAGGCAGGCAGGGCACCUCCCUCUGGUCCCCCCACCCCCCAUGGCUUCCGCUGGCCUGGCCUCGGGAGGGAGCAAGGCACUGGGGCUGGGACCGCCUUUCUGUUUAUGGUUGGCGCCGUGCCCACCACUCAGCACACGGCAUCUGCUCCAUCCAGUGGGGCGUGGGACAGACGACUGCCUUGGUGCAGAGAGGAGCAGGGGUGAGGGCAGGGAAACCCGCCUUGCCUGAGCACCUGUGCUGUGGACGUGCUGGGCACCAGGUAGGUGGUCCUCUGCACCCUUGCGUCUGGCGGCCCCCAGGUAGGUGCCACGGGCCGGUGCUCCGUCCUCCUGUUUGUGGAGGCGUCCUCACGGCGUCCGGCUGCGACCCUGCAUCAGAACGCGCGUGUGCAGAGGCCCAGGUGGGGAAAGUUCACAUGAUCGGCAACCUUGAGUUACUGUUCAGACACCUGGAGUUUGGCAAACUUGAGUUAUGGUUCAGACACCUGGGGCUGACCACCUGCCUCGCCGUGUGGAGUUCGGUCCGUGCGUCCUGCGAUCCAGGCACUAGGAAAGGCAAAGUGACAGAUAAGUGGAAAACCCAGAGAUUUUCCUCUUCUGUUCACUCCUCUUACUCUGUUUCUGGGGGGACGUAGUGUCCUCUGAAGCCACGAAGAUACUAUAGUUUCAGCUGCCACUUUUGCAGAAUAAUCCGGGUUUUCAUCUUAGGUCUCAGAAGUUGAAUUUGCCUCCUUUCACCCAUCCCCCGUCAUAUAGAGUGUGAGCCCAAUUGGACUGGUAUCUUUUAAGAUUUCAGGGUUGGCGUUUGGGCCUCCACACAAAUGACCACGCUGCUGGUUCACUGUGUCAGCUGCCCCUCACUGCCCAUGAGGCCCCCAGGCCCUCUGCAAAUGCGGCCACCCUCUUCCUCUGCCUAGAACAUUCUCCCCAGGGGUCCCUCCGCACCGUCCCCACCCCCACCCACCCCGAGGGUUGUCAUCCCGUGUCCCUGCCCAGAGACCUGGGUUUUCUCCCCUGCUCCCCGCUUGCCGCCCCUGCUUAUGCUCCCCUGUGAGACGGCGCCCCCCAGCCUCUCCCCGACCGGGUGUCAGGGCCUGCGGUGGGGACCGGCCUGGCUGCCCCAAAGCAGGUUGAGGUGGUCAGUGCCGUGCGGGAUGCUGAGGCGAGGUCCCUGGGGCGGAGGCUCGGAGAGCGUGCCCGCGCUCGUGACUUCGUGCGGAUGAGCCAGCGGAGAGAGCUGCCCCGUCCUGGUAGCGGGGUUGGAAACGUGUCUUCCCGGGGCCGCCUCACACGGGAAGUCGUGUCCUAUGCCCUCCGUACCGCUGGCGGUCUCCAGCAUCCUCUUCUUCAGGUGGCGCCUGUCCGGCUGUCCUGAGCCUGGCCUGUGGGUGCACACUCAGGGCCCUGGGCUCCUGGGGACGUGUGGACUGCAGGCUGACACUACAGUUUUGGCAUCAGCCCCACCCCCCUGCUGGCUCUAAGCUCUCUUGGCCCGGUGAGCAGUGUCCGGCCGGUCUGGCAGGGUCGGUCCGUGGGCGUGACUCUGUGGUGACACUACCCAGGCCUGUCUUGUCUCUACCCCCAGAGCUGCCUGGAAUUCAGCCUAAGGAUUCAGGAGUUCAUUGAACUCAUCCGGCAGAACAAGAGACUGGAUGCGGUGAGACACGCGAGAAAGCAUUUCAGUC